UAGGGAAUCUUCCACAAUGGACGCAAGUCUGAUGGAGCAACGCCGCGUGAGUGAAGAAGGUUUUCGGACCGUAAAGCUCUGUUGUUGGUGAAGAAGGAUAGAGGUAGUAACUGGCCUUUAUUUGACGGUAAUCAACCAGAAAGUCACGGCUAACUACGUGCCAGCAGCCGCGGUAAUACGUAGGUGGCAAGCGUUGUCCGGAUUUAUUGGGCGUAAA
rnacentral:rRNA from 1 species